ACGGGAGGCAGCAGUGAGGAAUAUUGGUCAAUGGGAGCAAUCCUGCACCAGCAAUGCCGCGUGUGGGAUGACAGGGCUUCGCCUUGUAAACCACUGUCGGAUGGGACGAAAGGAACCCUCGGGGUUCUGGGACGGUACCAUCAAAGGAAGGGUCGGCUAACUACGUGCCAGCAGCCGCGGUAA
rnacentral:rRNA from 1 species